rnacentral:rRNA from 1 species
UACGAAGGGGGCUAGCGUUGCUCGGAAUCACUGGGCGUAAAGCGCACGUAGGCGGCUUUCUAAGUCAGGGGUGAAAUCCUGGAGCUCAACUCCAGAACUGCCUUUGAUACUGGAGAGCUUGAGUCCGGAAGAGGUGAGUGGAACUCCGAGUGUAGAGGUGAAAUUCGUAGAUAUUCGGAAGAACACCAGUGGCGAAGGCGGCUCACUGGCCCGAUACUGACGCUGAGGCACGAAAGCGUGGGGAGCGAACAGG